CUUCCGCGUUCUACUUAAUACUGCUCGAUUGUUUCCGGUCAAACAAUAGCUACAUUCUACACCCGAUGUUUACAACAGUUCUAAAAGUUGAACAUCACCGGUGUUCACCGGAUUUGUAGGACGACCAAAGCCCCAACAAGCAGGUUGGAUAAAGGUUUUAAAUGGUAUGCGGCGUCAUACAUACACAACUACGAAGAUUACGCUUUGUGAUUCAUCGCCAGUGUUGUUGACGCACAGCCAAUGCUCCUGUGUGGCAGGCACUGUUUUGUGCUCCUCCUGUUUGUAGGACACAAUGAAUACACAUGGAUCCACAAGUGCAAAGAUCAAUUAGAGAAAAAGCUGACCAUUUCUUUUUCUACGUAUACAUGCCAAGAUACCUGUCUUUGAGAAAUGAACUAUGAAAACAUGAGCAAUUCCCAGGUUCUUCAAUGAAAGAUUGGAAUGACAAAAAUAUGUUUUAAAAUAUUUUAUUACAGUUCAUUUUUCAUUCAUAACUUUGUUAAGCCAAUAUGUUACAAUAGUUCAAUAUGUUACAAUGUUCAUUUUUACAAAUCUAUACAAAUGACCAGAGGAUUUCAACACAUACAUGCCUAAAUAUGUCAAUGAAAUGUUAAGGGGGAACAACUGAUUAACAGAACUUUACAUUCAACAGUUUGCUUACAUUGAUGUUUGUGUACAUAAGAUUUACAUCAUGUUUAACAAAGUUAUCUGCCACUGGAAUAAACAAAAUUCACUAAAUGAAAUUACAAAAA